UCAGAGGGCUGUUGGAGGAGUAGAUGAGGUGCUACAUGCAGGGCCCUGAGAACUGUCCUGUCGCUCAGGAAGCAAGUUUUGCAGGGUGUGGACAAUCGGGCAAGUGACUGCAUGUGACAACAGAGAGAGGGCAUGGUACACGGUGGCAGAUGAGCCCGGGACUGGAGGCAGAUCUGGGUUCCAGUUCGGGCUCUACCAGCAGCACCCAUGUGUCCUUCUGUUCUCUGGGCCUCAAUUUCCUGUUGUAAAAUUCAGAACUUGGAAGAGCAUUUCAGGAGGUUCCUGUGAAAAACCUACAUGCACACACCCCCACGUGCAGCUGCAGACUGCUAUCUAUACACGAAGUUAUGCAUCGCAGAGUCGACUGCAAAAGGCUGGAGCCCACACAGCGUCUAUCAAUAGGGAACGGGUUAAAUCGACCACAAGAUUUCCAUAUGACGAUGGAACACUUUCCAGCCAAGAAAGGAGGAGGAAGUCCUCACUGCUCUGAUACGGAACAGUCACCAAGACAUAUUUUAAGUAAAAAAAAGGCAGCAUGCAUAACCAGGGAAAUGAAAACUAAAACCACAGUGAGUUACAAUUUCACACAGAUCCAUCUACAAAAAAAAAAAAGCUGAUAAUUGCAGGUGUUGGUGAAGAAGUGGAGUGAGGGGAAUGCUCAAACUACUAGUGGGUGUGCGAAUGGUUAUAACCACUUUUUAAAAUUUUGGCAUUAUCUACUGAAGUUGACAAUGUACUUUCCCAAUGGCCUUGCAAAUGCCCUGGAGAAGUUCUUACCCAACCCCCGCCAUUCCCCCCAACACACACCAAAAGAAACAAUUAAGAACAUUUGCACCAGCUCUGUUCCUAGAACCCCAAAACUGAGGCCAGCACUGAGGCCAAGCACAGUGGCUCAUGCCUGUAAUCCCAGCAGGCAUGAGCCACCCUUUGGGAGCCUGAGGCCGGAGGAUUAUUGAGGUUGAGAGUUCAAGACCAGCCUGGGCAACAUAGUGAGACCUUGUCUCUAUAAAAGAAGUUUUAAAAAUUAGCCAGGUGUGAUGGCUCAUGCUUGUAGUCCCAGCUAAUUGGGAGGCUGAGGUAGGAGGAUCGUUUCUUGAGCCCUGGAGGUUGAGGCUGCAGUGAGCCAUGAUUGCACCACUGCACUCCAGCCUGGGCAACAGAAUGAGACCCUGUCUCAAAAAAUAAAAUUAAAUUAGAAAACAAUAAUAAUUAUUAUUAAUAAAUAAAAUAGUCCAAUGAAAAUAAUCAUACUAUCUCCAUGCAAUGGAAUUCUAUACAAGAGUGAAAAUGAACUAACUCCGGACAUGCGUAUCAGUACACUGAACUUCAGAACUAUAAUUAUGGGUGGGACAAAAGCCAGCCAUAGAAAACUAUUCUAUUCAUAAUCCCAAAAAGGUAGUAUACCAUAUUCAAUUAUUAUAUAUAUUUAUGUCUUGUUAUAUAUAAUGUUUAUUACAUUUAUCUUAGUAUAAAAAUAUAGUAUAUUUAUCAUAAUCUAUUAUAAACAAGUAGUAGGAUUAUAAAAAGACAAAAAGGGCAGGAUAAGCGUAAAAUUCAUGAUAGUAUUUAGGGGAAGAGGAGGGUGGGGCUGGAGAGAGGCACAUGGUUUCAAAAGCCCAGCUUCUUUGUCUAAAACAGGGCGUGGGUACCCAUACUGGUCUAUUGUAUUGUGGGUGUCUUUAAAAUGUAUAUAUAUUCUAUAACUACUAUUUUUGUAUCUACUCAAUAUUUAAUUUUAAAAUUUUAAAUGAGGCCUAGAACACUAUAAAAAGUAUGCUACCAUUUGUAUAGAAAAAGUGGACACACACAUCACUCAUGUGCAUAGAUUAAAGUGUCUCUGGAAACUUACACAUGCAACUGGUGAAACUGGUUUCCUCUGGGGAGGAGAACUGGGAGGCUGGGGACAAGGAGGGGCAAUAAAUCAAUUGAAAUUAAAAAUCACAAAAUUUAAGGAGAAGGAGACAAAGAAGGGAAGGAGGAAGAGAAGGGAGGGUGGAGGGGAGAGGCCAAGUCCUGGUCCCAGGAGGGACAGGGAGCAGAAAGAGGAGGACUGGCCAGGCUCUGGCUAUCAAAACCUGUGUGUGCCACAGGCACGAGUGGAGCCAGAAGCCUGCAGUCCUGCCCAGGAAAGCCUGUGUCCUCCGCGCACAACUCAGGCUUAGACCCAGAGAAUGCUCUUUCUUGCACCUGAGGACGGGGCUGGCUUCAAACAGUUGCCCAGGUUGACCCUGGCUCUGCAGUCUUUUGUUUCCAGAGCUUUGCUUCCAAACGAGGCUCCCUUGGGUCUCUUUCCCUGGCCCUGCCUUCUUAUCUCCAACCUUCACCCCACCUGUGAUCCAAGCGAUUCCUUUGAAGUUGCUUCAGAGUCUUCUGAGCCUUCAUCCUUGAUGACUCUGAAAUGUGCGUCUGUGGCACCAAGGUCAGCCAACAGCAAGUAGGCCCUUUUCAUCUCCUUUUAAACCUUCCCCUCAAGGACUCAGUGUCCUUGCUGUAUUGCCUUAUCAAAACCUGCUCACAUAUCCUUUGUUCACACUGGGAUACCGGUCAUUUAAAGGAAAACAGGCCCACUCUAACCAGGGUCACUGCCAAGUCCCUAAGUAUCAUGCCCUUGAGAGGUAAAAGCAUAAAGCACUAAGGGUAGAAUUUUGGGCAACAGCCAGUGGACAAGGACAAAAUGGGUGCAAUAUGCAGGGGUCCCUUCUGCCCCACCGGUAACCAUAACACCUCAGGACACAGGCUGGGGUCUGUAUUCAAAAGUGGGUCCCUCAGACCGGGCACAGUGGCUCACGCCUAUAAUCCCAGCACUUUGGGAAGCCAAGGCCAGCGGAUCCCUUGAGCCCAGGAGUUUGUGACCAGCCUGAGCAACAUGGCGAAACCCCAUCUCUACAAAAAAUACCAAAAUUAGUCUAGUCGGGCAUGGUGGUGCACACACCUAUGGUCCCAGCUAUUUGGGAGGCUGAGGGGGGAGAAUCGCUUGAGCCCCAGGAGGCAGAGAUUGCAGUGAGCUGUGAUCGAGCCACUGCACUCCAGCCUGGGCAACAGAGUGAGACCCUAUCUCAAGAAAACAAAAACAGAAAGUAAAAAAGCAAUCCUCGAGCAAAAGUGGGUCCCUCAGAGCCCAAUGACAGUGAUGAGGAGGAUGAGGUGGGAAAGGUAGUGUUACUCUGAACUAAAAAGGACUGCCCAGUGUGACCCUAUCUCCCAAACAGCCCAUGCAGGGAUCUGGGUGGCACCAUAGUACAGAAGUGGGUGCCAAGAGAGGCCUGGGCUGCACAGCCAGGUGCAUACAUGCCCUGGAGUCCAGGACAGGAUCAGCAGCAAAUCCACUCCAGGGAGCUCUCCCCCCUCACCAUCCUCUCAAUCAGGGUUCCCCAGUUGAAAAGCACCUUGGCAGUUCAUAAUUCUCCCUCUAAAGCCAGAAAGUGCUGUAAAGGAUAACAGAAGCCUGGCUGCACAGUGGAGCUUAAUGGAAGUCAUUCAACAAGCAGGUCUGGAGCAAACAUCAUGGACCAGCAGUACUGUGUGUUGGCACAGAUGUGAAGCAACUAUACUCUGAUACGGCUUGGAUAUGUGUCCCCACCCAAAUCUCAUAUUGAAUUUUAAUUCCCAGUGUUAGAGGAGGGGCCGGGUGGGAGGUGACUGGAUCAUGGGGGCAGAUUUCCCCCUUACUGUUCUCACGAUAGUGAGUUCUCAGAUCUGGUUAUUUUAAAGUGUGUAGCACCUCCCACUUUGCUCCCUUCCUCCUGCUUUGGCCAUGUAAGAUGUGCCUGCUUCGCCUUCCCCUUCCGCCAUGAUUCUAUGUUUCCUGAGGCCUCCCCAGCCAUGCUUCCUAUACAGUCUGCAGAACCGUGAG
rnacentral:lncRNA from 1 species